GUUCUACUAGUUACUGACUAAUAUCAGCUUUAUAAAGAAAUUAAGGGCUCAAAUAUGUUAUUUUCUAUGUAAAUCAGCUAAUUAUCAUCGGUAUGAAGACUCCUUGUCUCCAAAUGGGAUAAUGGAAAAUAAUUAACUUGAACCAUAUGAAAUUGCUAGUUUUGUCACAACUGAAUAUCAACAGUUUUAUAUAUGGCUCAACCUAAUAGCACUUUAAUCACCCUGUUAUUCAUAGACCUGAUUUGGAAAAAUGAAGAAAAGAAAGGACUAUUCAUUUGAGGUACAGCAUGCAAGUUCUUCUAAUACCUGGCCCUCGGGGAAGCCUACAGAGAGAGGCGAUUUGGAAAACGCUGUUUUGGAACAGAGCUCCUCCUUAAUAGCUCCCCGUGGAAGAGGGAUUCCUGCUACAAAUGACAUGACAUCAUUGGCACAGGGCUUGGGCUGGAGCAAAGCCUGCUGCUUCUUCCUUCUUGAGACUCUGACCUUGGGGGUUCAUGGCCUACAGCCCUAGGCCGACUUCAUCUCCUUGGUUUUCCUGGUUUCUGGAAGAAAAUGUGGCAAACAUUAUCACUGGCAAGUUUAUGCCAUGCAGCCUCAGCGAAAUUUGUUUCUCCUUUUUUUUUUUUAUACUUUUAUAAAUUUAACCUCUUGCCAACACAUUUCUAUCACCGUGUACUCAGCCUUACCUAUAUGAAGGCCUAAGCAGUAUGGAGACAAGAAUUUGUUUUCUUCUCUAUUUGAUUUUUAAAUUAUAAAAGACUCUAAUGCUGUCAACUGGUAAGUGUGUAGAGUUUAAGGUAAACAUCACUCCAACUUUUAUAACGUUUAGGGUUUAAGAUAAACAUCACUCCAACAGCAAACUGGUUUUGAAGAUGCCAUUUAAAAAAAUCCAUCUUAUAAACAAUUCUCUUGAACACAUGUUUUCACAUUUGGAAAAGAAAACAGGAGUUUCUUUUUUAAAAUUUUUUUUUAACGUUUAUUUAUUUUUGAGACAGAGAGAGAGCAUGAACGGGGGAGGGUCAGAGAGAGGGAGACACAGAAUCUGAAACAGGCUCCAGGCUCUGAGCUGUCAGCACAGAGCCCGAUGCGGGGCUCGAACCCACGGACCGCGAGAUCAUGACCCAAGCCAAGGUCGGCUGCUUAACCAACUGAGCCACCCAGGUGCCCCAAAAACAGGAGUUUCUACCUGCUCAAUGUAGCUUUGAAUAUUUAGGAUUUCUUCUAGUAACUGUUCUUUGCAUCAUUGCUACAUGAGGUGCUCAAAAAGACUGAGCUGGAGACACCAGUCCCCUGAAAGGAAUAACCACACGCUCAUGGAGUGAGGAAGUGCUAGCUGCUGGCUGGGGACUUCCCAGGUCACUAAUUUUGAAACCCUCCAAACACUGAUCUAAAGAUCAAAUUCUUGUCUUCAAUAGCAAGGAUCAAAAGGGUGGAAGGCUGUAUUCUGUUUCCUCAUCUAGCACCAGGAUUCUGUUGGAGAGGUGCAAUUAAACGGACUCUAAGUCCGGCUUGUUCUUUUCGCCCUCCUCUGUCCAAUUAAGGACAUUAUUUGAUUUGGUGCAUCUCAGCCAUUCGUUUUGGUGGAUAGUUGUUUCUCUUCUUAAAAAGAUCAAAGACCAUUCUAAACUCAGACUCAGUCAAGUAGAUAGAACAAAUACCGCAUCAUUCUACGUAACUGCCAUAGCAGCACUGGGUUCCGAUCCAUGCAGGAGUCCCUGUUAUGAUCACCGUUAUGGACAGGCGCCUGAGCUUUGAAAGCAGCUGUGUGGCAUAAAUUGUACCUCAUGGACACUUUCGUACUAUUUAGUCAGAGUCCAAUUACCCGAUGUGAAAGCCUAUGUGACACUGAGACAAAAAGGAGAGAGAGAAGAGAGAAAAAAAGGAGGAACAGGAGAAGUUAUCCAAAUUCACUUGUCUGAGUUCUCACGAGGGGAAAAGAAUGACUAAAAUAUAACCUGCAUGUAAGAGCAUUAGUAAUAUUAUUAAUAAUAAUACCUUUGAUAACUAGGCCAGUGAUCUCAAAGUACUUUUAACAUUCAUCAUUUUCUUGGUACUCACCAAAAUCUCAAGGACCUAUAGAACAGGUAUUGCCAUGUCUUAAGUUUUUCUUUAUUUCUCUUUUCUCUUUCUUCAUCAACUUUCUCUGAAAAUGAGGGAUCUUGACCUGAGUGCUAAGAACUUAUAAGUUUUGAGUGAAAAAGGCCUAUACUAUUUUGGAGGCAUGUCUUUCCUCUUAAGUAGACAUUAGCCUACAAUGUACUUUAUAGGAGGUACAAGGGUAGGAUAUAUAUAAUGCUGUACGGCACAGCAAAAUAAUUGUCAAAGGGCCUCCCAUUUAUAGUAAGCUGAAUGAGAGAAUUGAUAUCCAAAAUAAAAAGGGGAAAAUUCUAGACUGGUUUCAAAGCAUCACAGAGCAGCGAUAGUCAUUUGCUUCAUGGAGAGCCUCUGCUCUGAUGCAUCUGAGCAUACAUAGUUCAUCUGAUUAGAUUUCGUGAGUCUAAGAUUGAUCAUUACAAUUUAUAAACGAGGAUAACCAUUUGGAAAUCUGCCUUAAAAUGAAAGUCCAGACAUUUGUCUCAAAUAUUGAGAUAGCUCUCAAACUAUAGGCUCUUUGCCUUGAAUAUUAGGUACGUCAUCCUCCUUUAAAUCUUGUCUUUCCCUAGUUCAUCCUCCAUCCCCACUCAUCUCCCAAAAGACCUUGACCAGAGUUUUCAUCUGUCUUUGUAGUACUCCAUUCCUGUAAAUUCCUUCUCCAUGUUUUUGUUCUGUUUCACUUAGUUUGGAAAAUGGCAGUGUAGAAAAUGUUUGGUAUAACUCUAAUGCUGGCUGGCAUCUGUGAUCUCUUAAAAGAAUUAUAUAUACUGUAUAUGUGUGUGUGUCUAUGUGUGUGUGUUCUGUGUUUGAAGUACAGAAUUAAAAACCUCAAAUAAGGCAGAAAACAAACGUGCCUUAUUAUCCAGAUCCCCUCCAUGUUUUUAGCUGUUUAGAAAAUGUUUCUCCUGUUGUUCCUGCUAAAUAUUUCUCAUUUU